rnacentral:rRNA from 1 species
AAUGAACGCUGGCGGCAGGCCUAACACAUGCAAGUCGAACGAGGCAGCAAUGCCUAGUGGCGGACGGGUGAGUAACGCGUGGGAACGUGCCCCUUGGUACGGAAUAGCCCUGGGAAACUGGGAGUAAUACCGUAUGUGGUCGAGAGACGAAAGAUUUAUCGCCAAGGGAUCGGCCCGCGUUGGAUUAGGUAGUUGGGUGGGUAAUGGCCUACCAAGCCGACGAUCCAUAGCUGGUUUGAGAGGAUGAUCAGUCACACUGGGAGUGAGACACGGCGCAGACUCCUACGGGAGGCAGCAGUGGGGAAUUUUAGACAAUGGGGGAAACCCUGAUCUAGCCAUGCCGCGUGAUCGAUGAAGUCCUUAGAGUUGUAAAGAUCUUUCAGUGGGGAAGAUAAUGACGGUACCCACAGAAGAAGCCCCGGCUAACUCCGUGCCAGCCGCCGCCGUAA